AUUGAACGCUGGCGGCAGGCCUAACACAUGCAAGUCGAGCGGAUGAAGGGAGCUUGCUCCUGGAUUCAGCGGCGGACGGGUGAGUAAUGCCUAGGAAUCUGCCUGGUAGUGGGGGAUAACGUCCGGAAACGGGCGCUAAUACCGCAUACGUCCUGAGGGAGAAAGUGGGGGAUCUUCGGACCUCACGCUAUCAGAUGAGCCUAGGUCGGAUUAGCUAGUUGGUGGGGUAAAGGCCUACCAAGGCGACGAUCCGUAACUGGUCUGAGAGGAUGAUCAGUCACACUGGAACUGAGAUACGGUCCAGACUCCUACGGGAGGCAGCAGUGGGGAAUAUUGGACAAUGGGCGAAAGCCUGAUCCAGCCAUGCCGCGUGUGUGAAGAAGGUCUUCGGAUUGUAAAGCACUUUAAGUUGGGAGGAAGGGCGGUAAGUUAAUACCUUGCUGUUUUGACGUUACCAACAGAAUAAGCACCGGCUAACUUCGUG
rnacentral:rRNA from 1 species